rnacentral:lncRNA from 1 species
CUUAAGGAUGUACUUAGGUGAGGUUUUGGAAUUUGUGUUAAAUGUUCGGACUCCUUGGUGUUUUUCCAUACAAUACAAUGUAAAAUAUUUUGCCCCUUUUUAUUUUUUCAUAUUAGACUUAAUAGCUCAUGAAAGGUCAUUUACCAAAAUUUUAGAAGAUUCUUAAUUUUCUUUCUUUUGUUUUGAGACCCAAAUAGUACCAAUGCAUAUAUAAGGUAAAAGUCCAAGUCAGCCUUUCCCCGCCAUAUUUUAAAUCUCAAAUAUCUUGAAAAGGAGGUCCAUGACCUAUCAAUAUUUUAG